CACGUAGGGUGAGAGCGUUGUCCGGAAUUAUUGGGCGUAAAGAGCUCGUAGGCGGUUUGUCGCGUCUGCUGUGAAAACUCGGGGCUUAACUCCGGGCCUGCAGUGGGUACGGGCAGACUAGAGUGCGGCAGGGGAGACUGGAAUUCCUGGUGUAGCGGUGAAAUGCGCAGAUAUCAGGAGGAACACCGGUGGCGAAGGCGGGUCUCUGGGCCGAUACUGACGCUGAGGAGCGAAAGCGUGGGGAGCGAACAGG
rnacentral:rRNA from 1 species